GCGGGUGUAGUUUAGUGGUAAAACCUCAGCCUUCCAAGCUGAUGACGGGGGUUCGAUUCCCCUCACCCGCUCCA
rnacentral:tRNA from 3 species